UUGUGCUAGCUGGAGAUAGAGAUUCGUUUAUAACUUAAAAAGGAUAUCUUAAUAAGCUUACCAAAAAAGGGGUGGGGGUCUCAUGGAGGAUUUAAGAAGCAAAGCUUUAUAAAUAGAUGGACACCACCGCGAGAGAGAGAGAGAGAGAGAGAGUUAAAGAGAGAGAAUUAAUCAUGUUCACGAGGAAGUCAGUGGUGCUAUUUUUCUUUUUAAUGGUGUUCAUCAACCCCAUGACCACCAAAAACAUGGUUUGGGCCAGCAAUCGCCUACCAACAGUCGUUAACCCUCAAGAUUUCAACAAAGAUUAUGUUACCGUUUUUCCUUGUGUCAACUCAUGUUGGAAAGAGAGUUGUUGUCAUUGCAACAUAGAUGAGAAGGUCCCAUAUUGUAUGCAAUGCUGCUUCUAGAGAAAUAAAAAAAUACAGUAAUUUAUUACCUCGUGAAAAGGAGUUUGAUUAUGGCUUGAUGUAUUGCUCUGGGCUAAAUAUAUUGAAAUAUAUAGCUCGAUGCACUCUUAUCUCUGAUGAGCUGAAUAAAAAUUCAUGGCCUCAUAAAUUUUCUCUUC